rnacentral:siRNA from 1 species
CCGAUCGUUUAGCCGCUC